rnacentral:rRNA from 1 species
AACGAACGCUGGCGGCAUGCCUAACACAUGCAAGUCGAACGAGACCUUCGGGUCUAGUGGCGCACGGGUGCGUAACGCGUGGGAACCUGCCCUUAGGUUCGGAAUAACUCCCCGAAAGGGGUGCUAAUACCGGCUAAUGUCUUCGGACCAAAGAUUUAUCGCCUUUGGAUGGGCCCGCGUUGGAUUAGCUAGUUGGUAGGGUAAAAGCCUACCAAGGCGACGAUCCAUAGCUGGUCUGAGAGGAUGAUCAGCCACACUGGGACUGAGACACGGCCCAGAAUCCUACGGGAGGCAGCAGUGGGGAAUAUUGGACAAUGGGCGAAAGCCUGAUCCAGCAAUGACGCGUGAGUGAUGAAGGCCUUAGGGUUGUAAAGCUAUUUUACCCGGGAUGAUAAUGACAGUACCGGGAGAAUAAGCUCCGGCUAACUCCGUG